CAUAGGCUUGCCAGGCACCAUAUCAACAAUGGCAGCAUCACCAGACUUCAAGAAUUUAGGGCCAUCUUCCAGUUUUUUACCAGAACGGCAAUCAAUCUUUUCCUUUGGCUCAGCAAACUUGCAUGCAAUGUGAGCCGUGUGGCAAUCCAACACAGGGGCAUAGCCAGCACUUAUUUGGCGUGGAUGGUUCAGGAUAAUCACCUGAGCAGUGAAGCCAGCUGCUUCCAUUGGUGGGUCGUUUAUGCUGUCACCAGCAACGCUGCCAUGACGAACAUCCUUGACAGACACAUUCUUGACAUUGAAGCCCACAUUGUCCCCAGGAAGAGCUUCACUCAAAGCUUCAUGGUGCAUUUCGACAGAUUUUACUUCAGUUGUAACGUUGACUGGAGCAAAGGUGACCACCAUACCGGGUUUGAGAACACCAGUCUCCACUCAGCCAACAGGAACAGUACCAAUACCACCAAUUUUGUAGACAUCCUGGAGAGGCAGGCGCAAGGGCUUGUCAGUUGGACGAGUUGGUGGUAGGAUGCAGUCCAGAGCCUCAAGCAGCAUGGUUCCACUGGUAUUGCCAUCCUUACGAGUGACCUUUCAUCCCUUGAACCAAGGCAUGUUAGCACUUGGCUCCAGCAUGUUGUCACCAUUCCAACCAGAAAUUGGCACAAAUGCUACUGUGGCUACUGGUUGUAGCCAAUUUUCUUAAUGUAAGUGCUGACUUCCUUAACAAUUUCCUCGUAUCUCUUCUGGCUGUAGGGUGGCUCAGUGGAAUCCAUUUUGUUAACACCAAUAAUUAGUUGUUUCACACCCAGUGUGUAAGCCAGAAGAGCAUGCUCUCGGGUCUGCCCAUUCUUGGAGAUACCAGCUUCAAAUUCACCAACACCAGCAGCAACAAUCAGGACAGCACAGUCAGCCUGAGAUGUCCCUGUAAUCAUGUUUUUGAUGAAGUCUCUGUGUCCUGGGGCAUCAAUGAUAGUCACAUAAUACCUGCUGGUCUCAAAUUUCCACAAGGAGCUAUCAAUGGUGAUACCACGUUCCCGCUCAGCUUUCAGUUUAUCCAAGACCCAGGCAUACUUGAAGGAGCCCUUUCCCAACUCAGCAGCCUCCUUCUCAAAUUUUUCAAUGGUUCUUUUGUCAAUGCCACCGCAUUUGUAGAUCAGAUGGCCAGUAGUGGUGGACUUGCCUGAAUCUACGUGUCCAAUGACGACAAUGUUGAUAUGAGUCUUUUCCUUUCCCAUUUUGGCAUUUAGGGGUAGUUUUCACGACACCUGUGUUCUGGCGGCAAACCCGUUGCGAAAAAGC
rnacentral:lncRNA from 1 species